rnacentral:lncRNA from 1 species
CACUGUACAGCAAGGGGGUCAGGUCAUCCUUAGAUGUAUACAUUGCAGUUACAGUUUUUUCCCCCACCCUUUCUUCUGUUGCGACAUGAGUAUCUAGACAUAGUUCUCAAUGCUAUUCAGCAGGAUCUCCUUAUAAAUCUAUUCUAGGUUGUGUCUGAUAAGCCCAAGCUCCUGAUCCCUCCCACUGGUUGUAUGUUCUUCAUCUCUAGAAGAGUUUGGGCUAGGUGGGCUAUGGUACUUUCCAGCUCUAAUAGUCUGGUCCCAUGAAGCCAGCCUAAGCCUGGGGGAAGGAAUUUAGGAUAAGUUCCUGCCUGGUAUACAGGAGGUAAGAUGGUUUACUGAGCGGUGAUGCACGCAAAUGAACUGCAGGUCUACUUUGAUCCUUCCCUUGCCUGGACUGGAUGCUUACUAUUGCCCAGCUCCCAGCUGCUGCCCUUAGUAGUAGUGGGAGCUCCCCAUGUCUCAAGACCUAGAGCCAAGGCAAGGAAGUCAUGAUACCCAGGCCUCUGCCACGACCAGCCACAAAAAGUCCUGAGGCUGGUGUCCAAGGUGAGUCCUGAUCACAGAGUCAGAUGACAGUCCCCAGUGGAGUGCUCCUCUCUAUCUUCUCUCACCCAUCUCUCAUCCUCCAGGCAGACCAAACAAGGAGAAGCUAAUGUUUGAUGGAAAAUAUUAAAAAAAAAAACUUUUAAUAUAACCUGCCUUCUCACUUAGAGAGAUUCCAUCCCCAUUCAUUAUUCCCACCCACACGAUCCUGGCUUGAUCCUAUCAGACAAACUCUGCACCUGUCCCAAGGCCAAUUCUCUUACUCCUUUGUAAGCUCCUGACAGUACUCUUUGGGUGAAGGUGUUUGUCUGAUUUAGGGCCAUGGGCUAACUCCAGGUGCCAGUCUCUGCUUCUCUUCACAAGCCCAGUGUUCUGAAAUUCAAAUAUGUCCAUUGAUAGUAUAAGUAGAGGAAAUAAUUUUAAACUUGGCUUAGAAUUUUAUAUAUUUUGAUGGAUAUUUAGAACUAUAAAAUGAUCAUUAUAGUUUUAUCUUUAAAGAGGUAAUUUCCUACCAGGAAGUGCUCGUAAACAAUUGGAUUUAUAUACCAAAAAAUAUUGCAGAAGCUUUUCAUUCCCUGGAAAACGUAUUAAAAUUAUGAUGGGGAGUUCCCGUCGUGGCUUAGUGGUUAACGAAUCUGACUAGGAACCAUGAGGUUGUGGGUUCGAUCCCUGGCCUUGCUCAGUGGGUUACGGAUCUGGUGUUGCCGUGAGCUGUGGUGUAGGUCGCAGAUGCGGCUUGGAUUCUGCAUUGCUGUGGCUGUGGUAUAGGCCAGUACCUACAGCUCCAAUUCAACCCCUAGCCUGGGAACCUCCAUAUGCCGCAGGAGCAGUCCUAGAAAAGGCAAAAAUACAAAAACAAACAAACAAAAAAAAGUUUGAAAAGCCGGUCAAUAUAGAGCCUGACAGAAGCAUGUCAAGAUUUCAUAUGUGAUCACAGCCAUCUUUGCUAUUUUUGGGUAGACAAUACAAGGACAUCUAUAGUUUGUUUCCUAUAAUAGAGGUAGAGGCUUCAUAGUAAGAAUAAGAAAUCAGUCAGUGGCUAUUCUUUAUUUAGAUUCAGAAAAUCAAAAUCAAAUCCUUGAUCCCAGGGUUAAGAGUUAUUUCCAAGGGUGUGAGUCUUGCAUUCCAGAAACUAUCUUUGUGGGAAUAAUGGGAUUUUAUCAGGGGAUUCCUGGGGAUACCUGUUUAGAUCAGGAUAAGUGUGCUGCAUGAGAUGAAAAUGCAAUGGAGGUGUUCCCUGGUUGCCUUGUGGUUAAGGAUCCAGCAUUGUCACUGCUGUGGCUUGGGUUACUGCUGUGGCCCAGGUUCAAUCCCUACUGUGGCCCGGGAACUUCUGCAUGCCAUGGGCACAGCCAAAGGAAAGGGGAUUUAGAUCGCAUUUCCACCAAAUCCCACCCGAGAACAUUUUUUUUUUCUGCCAGCUAGUAGCAAGUAAACAACAUUUAAUGAAGCAAAAUGUAGAUGUAUUUUCACAAUAUUAAUCACAUUUCCACAUCUAUCCUCACCCAUCUAAGACCAAUCACAGAUGUCCAUUUUACUAAUCCUUUUCAAAUUCUUUUUUAAAGUUUUUAAUAUAAAGACUUACUUUGAUCAAUUGUCUGAGUAUUAAUGUCUUUAUCUAGAAUAGAAGGUAUAAGGCAAUUGUCGGUGGAUUUUUUCAAAGCCUUAAGACAGCAAGGAAAGUACCCCAAAGAGCCAUAAAGAAAGAGAAUACUUCUAGCAAACCCAAGGCAUUUUUCUUUAUCUCACACAGUCAGGAGGCCCAUGUACUCCCUGCAGUAGAAAGAACAGAAUUAGGGAUCAAGGCAUCCUAGUACCGUGCUCUAACUAGCAGAUAACUGUAGUCUAGACUUAGCAAAUUGGUCUCUGUGUGCAGACAUACCACUUUCCUUUUAUUUUUCCUUUUUGGCUAUACCCGAGGCAUGCAGAGGUUCCCAGGCUAGGGACCAAACCCACACCACAGCGGAGACCUGAGCCACAGCAGCAACAAUGGUAAAUCCUUAACCUACUGAGCCUCCAGGGAACUCCCAGACAUUCCACUAUCUAAGAUGGAGAUUUCUUCCUUUUUUCAGAUAGACUGUGAUCAUUGAUUGAUUUGACUGACUACACUUCUAAAAGUCUGACUUAUUGAAGCAUAAUCGAUACAUGAAAAAAUUCAUCCUUUUCUGACAAAUCCAUACAGUUGUGUUACCCCCAAUGUAAGACACUGAACCUUUCUACCAGAGUCCUCACAAAUGCAACAGAUGAUUCCAUGUGGCUUCCUAUGUAGACAGAGUGCACUAUUUAAAAUAAAUCAGAUCAUUUUAAAAUGCUUAAAAUCUUUGAAGGGCUCAUGGCAGUCUGGAUUAGCAGUUCUUAUCUGGGUCGUAUGGAUAGAAUUGUGGAGGGUCAUGAGUUUGAAUGGCAAAUGUUAGGGCUUUAUUUUCACAAAUGACAAACCAUAAACCUCACUACAGUUUUGUCAUAUUACAGUUGUUACAGUUAUCUCAAAAUAUUGCUUAUGCUAAGCACGAUUUUGAAAUUGCAUUCAUCAGACCCACUGCUAGAUCUUAUUUAAUGUCAAUAAUAUUAAGGAGCACAUAUUACUACAGCACAGAGUUGGUUUUAAUAUUGUGAACUCUGUAUCUAAUGUAAUCAGUUUCCUUUUUAAUCUUAUGUAUUUUAUCCUUUGAAAGCAUCCAUAGGUUUCAUCAGACUGCCAAAGGAGUCUGUGGCACAAAAUAUAUCUAAGAAUCCCAGUUUUGGAUGAAGACCAUAAUUCUCAACAGAUCUUUCCAAAGUCAUACGUUAUUUAGUCUCUUAGUCUUCAUUUCUCAACACUUCACAAGAGUAGCUCAUCCUACAAAAUAUACACAAGACUGAACUACUUUCAAUUUCUUUGAUGGGUUAUGCUCACUCUUAUCUCCCUCCGCUGUAUCUUCUCAAGUCUCCAACCCCAAUCCAUCUACCCUCUCUCCUCAAUUACAUUCACACAUCCUUUAGGCUCUAGAAAGCCUUUGUGCCCAACACGCACACAUUGGGCUCAGGCCACUCAUGCUGCCUCCAUAUCACCCAGCACCAUUCUUAUCACUUUGGUUGUAUAUGCAUAUCAUGUGUCUUCAUUAGACUCUAUGUGUAAAGCUAUGUAUGUACAGGGACCAAGAAGCCCUUGUACACAGUUACCUCCCCAAAAUUUAGCACAGUCUGCCUCUUAAUAAAUAUGACAGUAAUCAGUUCCUUUCUUUCCUUUGCUCCUUGAUCUACCUGCAAGACUGAGCUAGACUUCCCUUUAUAAUCCUCCUAACUCUAAAAUUACGGAACUGUCCCCAAUAUUAUACUUCAAACUGAUUAACCAAAACACACUUGGCAUUGCUCAAACAAUGCAGGAAUUUCUUCUAUGUCACCUCACUCAUGACUUCCAAACUCUCUAAAAAUAAUCUACAAUUAGACUGUUCAUUAGCUUACUCUAACUUCCCUUUUAGUAUCUCAUGUGUGGCUAACAUUCCAGACAUCUGGCCCACUCACAGAUGAACCAACUAUUCUUGAAAUUUCCCCUUAACUCCUUCUUCAUUAAACUCAUUGCCUUUACUACCCUACCCAUGGUAAACGUCCCACAGCAUUCUCUUACUUUAGGCUCAGUAGCCAUGCAGCCAUCCACUUAGAUGUCUCACAGGCUUCUGCGGAUGGAAAGAACCCUAGAGGUCGUCCAGACAUGAGGAGUCGAGGAGGGGUGUGGAGGUGCUCCCACUGAAGUUUUCCAGAAUACGCGUGCUUUUAAUCCUCCUCCCCCUCAAUUCCACCUUAACAGGCCCGAGGCCUGUGAACUCUGAAUGGUUGCUUUAACCUGUGGUUCCUGAUCCCAGUUUUGUUCAAUGAUGUUAUUCAUUCAUUCAAAAACAUUUUUGAGACUACGUAUCAGGCAUUGCCUUUCUCUGACUGAGGUUCUCACCUGAACCACAAGACACAGAAAGUGAUUUGCUUGACUGUUUUCUCAGUUCUCCCAAGGAUGGUACAUGGUGCCAGUCUAAAUAAAUAGUCUAAAUAUACAGGAUAGGAAGUAAUUAAUACACAGAUGCCUCAGUCAUUAGGCUAAAUUCUCUCGUGGAAACUGAGAUGAAACAGAGUCCCUCCUAUUGCGAGGAGAGAUGAAAACAGACAAGCAAAUAAUGAACAGAUUUAAUAAGUACUAUGAAGAAUGUAAGUGUGAUACAGAAUAACCAGAAGAAACAGGUCAGUAAAAGUCUCUGAGAACACUGGAGCUGAGACCUAAGAAUGAGAAGCAAGUCCAUGACACAGCAGGGAACACAGCAUACUAAAAGAACAGCAUACAGAUACACAGGACCCAGGCUGGUAAAAGCCUGCGGUGACUGAGGAACAGAAAGAGGCCACGGGGCGGGGGGGGAACAGAGGGAAGAGAGUAGGACAAGAUGUGUAGGAGAAGGAGGCAAGCUCAGAUGCUGUAGGGCUCUAGAGGGAGAGCAGAAGGCUCUGGGCUUUUAUGCAAGCACCAUAGGAAGGAGUGAGGUGGUAAUUUGUUUCUUCAUUAUAGUUUUCAUUUGUUUUAAGUAAACAUGUAACAAAUUUUCUAGAGAAGAAAUCUCCCCUCCCCCCAAUCCCCCUACUAGGGACCUCACAGAUGUGCAACAUGUGCAUUUGCACAAGGCAGAACACUCAGAGGCUCCAUACUUGGUUUAGCCCUCUGCCACUGCCUUCUUGAAAUUCUUAGUAUGUUUGAACAAGGAACCCCUUGUUUUCAUUUUGCCCUGGUCUCUGCACAUUACACAGCUGAUCCUGUCCUCUUCUUCUAAGAGGGGAAAAUAAAUGUCCACUUGCACUCUGGGAAUUAAGUGCACUUGCAGCCCUGGGGACUGGUGCUCACUCCCACAAGGCUGGAGACUGGUCCAGUAAGGUGGGUGCCUUCACACAUUGGAGGUCCUAGGUUGGUCCCCAGGUCACCCUAAGUACAUAGAGCCCUUUAAGAAAAACCCAGCCCAUGCCUUCAGAAAUCAUUCAGUAAGUCGCACAGAGAGCAGGCAGAGCCAAAACAAUUUUUCCUUGGUCUGCCAAGCUUUUGCAGUCAUGGUUUAGUGAGUAAACUAUUGACAGUUAUACUUCUUUCCCAUUCCCUCUGGUAUAAUCACCAUUAAGCAGGGAGGGGGAAAGAAGACCCCCAAAGAAAGAAGAAAGCCCCCUUUGCAGAUCUAGAAAAGGACAGCUGAAGAAACAGCCUGCCACCUUCAUCUCUAAUAAGAUCUGAGCCACAGGAAGAAAAAAAUAGACUUGUGGUUGCCAAAGGGAGAGGGAGGGAGUGGGAUGGAUGGGGAGCUUGGGGUUAAUAGAUGCAAACUAUUGCCUUUGGAAUAGAUUAGCAAUGAGAUCCUGCUGUGUAGCCCGGGGAACUAUGUCUGGUCACUUAUGAUGGAGCAGGAUAAUGUGCGAAAAUAGUAUGUGAACGUGUAUGUGUAACUGGGUCACCACGCUGUACCGUAGGAAAAAAAUUGUA